AGUGAACGCUGGCGGUAGGCCUAACACAUGCAAGUCGAACGGCAGCACAGUAAGAGCUUGCUCUUACGGGUGGCGAGUGGCGGACGGGUGAGGAAUACAUCGGAAUCUACUUUUUCGUGGGGGAUAACGUAGGGAAACUUACGCUAAUACCGCAUACGACCUACGGGUGAAAGCAGGGGAGCUUCGGACCUUGCGCGAUUGAAUUAGCCGAUGUCGGAUUAGCUAGUUGGCGGGGUAAAGGCCCACCAAGGCGACGAUCCGUAGCUGGUCUGAGAGGAUGAUCCGCCACACUGGAACUGAGACACGGUCCAGACUCCUACGGGAGGCAGCAGUGGGGAAUAUUGGACAAUGGGCGCAAGCCUGAUCCAGCCAUACCGCGUGGGUGAAGAAGGCCUUCGGGUUGUAAAGCCCUUUUGUUGGGAAAGAAAAGCAGCAGGUUAAUCCCCCGCUGUUCUGACGGUACCCAAAGAAUAAGCACCGGCUAACUUCGUG
rnacentral:rRNA from 1 species